rnacentral:pre_miRNA from 1 species
UGGACAGAUUAUUGUAUUCGACUGUAUUCACGACGUGAAAUAGGGGAUUACACUAUUUUUAAACGAAAAGUGUAUCAAUCAACAUAAUAGACUCCU